GUUACUUUGAGAUGGGAGACGGAGAAGGUCAUUAGAGAGGAACGUUUGAGGUGGGAUAUUCGAUGAGGAGUUGCAGAGAGAUAGAGAAGUGUGGAAGUAUUUCUGGGCUUUUCUCUGGAGGGGUCAAGAGGAGAUUAUUAGAGAGAGUGAGGCUGUUGAAGUUUUGGCUACUGAGAAGGAGAACCAGAGAAGGAAAAGAUUGCUUUAGUAGCAGUCUUUUGAGAGGGAUUUUGAGUGGAGCACUUACCAGAGAUGGAGCAGUGAGCUGCAGCCCAAGACACCUAGUUGAGGAAGAGACUUUCAGGUUGCUUUGGUUUGGUGAUUAUUGGUUUAAUAUUUGAAGAGCUUGCUAUAUUUUAUACUCUAUUCUGGCAAACAUUUUUCAUUUCAAUCCACUGAUUGUUGGACCCAUGGAUAAAAUGAGGAAAUGGGUUCAGCAUGUUUGUUGAAGGUUCCGUGUUCUUUUCCUGUUGUUAUUCUCUUGUUCCCUUGUUUUUCCCCUGAAUGUAUACUCAAGGCCUCAAGAUUGGGAGAAAGUGGGUUGAAGCUGAACUUGGCAGUCUAUAGUGUGGUGGUUAAUGGGUCUAAGUUCUCGCACUGAUUCAUCCUGGAUGUAUGGUAUUUCUAUAAGAGAUGCUAAAACAGAAGAUCUUGAUGAAAUAAAUAAUGGUGUAUGCAAUUCCUGAUAAGAAAAAUCAAUAUGGUUGCUGAGAAUGAUGACUGUUUCAAUAAGUCACCUACAACUGAGAUCCUGAUAACUGGACUGGACAAAUGGAGGUUCAUAAAGCCCAUUCAAAGAAAGCCCCUUGAUCGAUUUGAGAGAAAAGAAGCUGCAGAAGACUAAUUCUGGACCAUUUAUCCUGGUUCUCUCCACUACAGGCCUGAUUACAUCUGGUCUCAUUCCUUCAGGCCCAUUAAAUUCAUCAGAGGUUUCUGGUGCAUCAGGUCCUAUUGGAUCUCUGAAAUCACAUGUUGCCUCAAUUGCAUGCAAAACCGGCUGUGAUUAACUUGGGUCAAGAAGCAUGCAUUUGGGGUAUUUGUUGAGGAAGAACCGCUGUCACUGGUUUCAUUGUCCAUUAUCCAAAUGUUGAGCUUGAAAUUGUUAAGGGUGGCCAAUUCGUUGAGGUUUCUGGGUGUAGAGGAUUCCAGUAAAUCAGUUCUUGAUUUACGGCAUCCUCCUUGAUUGUAGGAGAUACGGUUUCCAUUGAUUUCCUAUACGGUUUCCAUUUGUAAUUAUCUUUUCUAAUUUAUCUCUGUAUUCAAACUCUACUCUGUCUUGUAUACGUAUAUAUAAAUGGAAAAACUCAACCCCAUAGAAGUGUGGUGGUUUUACAA